rnacentral:rRNA from 1 species
GUGGGGAAUCUUGCGCAAUGGGCGAAAGCCUGACGCAGCCAUGCCGCGUGGAUGAUGAAGGUCUUAGGAUUGUAAAAUCCUUUCACCGGUGAAGAUAAUGACUGUAGCCGGAGAAGAAGCCCCGGCUAACUUCGUGCCAGCAGCCGCGGUAAUACGAAGGGGGCUAGCGUUGCUCGGAUUUACUGGGCGUAAAGGGCGCGUAGGCGGACAUUUAAGUCAGGGGUGAAAUCCCGGGGCUCAACCUCGGAAGUGCCUUUGAUACUGGGUGUCUUGAGUAUGAGAGAGGUGUGUGGAACUCCGAGUGUAGAGGUGAAAUUCGUAGAUAUUCGGAAGAACACCAGUGGCGAAGGCGACACACUGGCUCAUUACUGACGCUGAGGCGCGAAAGCGUGGGGAGCAAACAGGAUUAGAUACCCGGGUAGUCC